UCUCUGUCCCUCUCCUGCUUGCUCUCUAUCCUUCUCUCAAAUAAAAAUAAACUAAAAACUAAAAAAUAAAAUAAGAAAAAACUACCACCUGUUGAGUUUAGUUGAGUAUUAAAGAAUAUCCACAAUUAUCUGAAAAGGCAAUUAAAAUAUUUCCUCUAUUUUCCAACAUAUCUGUGUGAAGUAAGAUUUUGUCCAUUUACUUUAACCAAAAUAAUAUAUCACAACAGAGAGAAGCAAAAGCAGAUUAAAAAAAAAAUUCAGCCACCUUCUUUUAAGCCAGACCUUACAAAGAUUUGCAAAAGUAUAAAACAAGGCUACUCUAUGUUUUUUGUUUUGAGAACUAUCAGUAUUUUUCAUAAAAACAUUUAUGUUAACAUGUGUGGUAGUUUUGGAACAUGCCCACCAUUUCUCCUCCCUUCAAGAGGUGAAGCCUAAUCCCUUACCUUUGAAUGAUUUAGUGACUCAUCUCUAAUGAACACAAUAUGGCAGAAGGGAUGAUAUGUGACUUAAAAGUCUAGAUCAUAAAAGGCAUUGUGGUUUCCCCCUUGCUCUCUUGGAUCACUCACUCUGAAGAAGGCCAGCCGCCAUGUUCCGAAGACACUCAAGCAGCCCUGUGAAGAGGGUUAUAUGGCAAGAAUCGGAGGCCUCCUGACAAGAGCCAUGUGAGUGCGCCAUCUUGGACACAGCUAUUCCAGCUCCAUUAGGCCUUGGGGUGUCUGCAACCUUAUGAGAGACCCUAAGCUAGAACCACCCAAGCUCAGUUGGCCCCAGAUUCUUGAUCCACACAAAUUGUGUGAGACAGAUGAAUGAUCUUUAUAAUUAAGAGAAGAGAAACUUCCCUUUUGAAAAUCAUCAAAAGUGAAAGUCAGACCUGUAUUUCCUUUGGAUGAGUCAACCGUUUAAGCACAACAUGCGGAGGCCAGAUGUCUGUUGGUGCACCUGCGUGCCGGGGAGAGGUCCGAAGGGCAGAUGGUGGAUGAGGGGCCAGUAGCCACAACACCUGCCCCCCCAACAACCUCAGCCAGACUGGCUCUUUCGCGCAUGUUACACAUUGAGUUUCUGCAUAAUUUCACAUAAAAGUUUCCACUGCUUGAAAAAAAAAAAAAAGUUUGAAAACCUUUACCGUGAGAAUGAAUAACAGUUGAAGAGUUAAAAUUAGGCUAUAGAAGAACCACUCAAACUUUUUUUGGGAAUGUGAACAGAGUUUCCAUAAAGAAAAUCCUGCACAUUCUGAGAGAACAGAAGCCCUGACAACUUAACAAAUGUUCGGUGGUUUCAACAGAGGCUCGCUCAUGUGGCCAUGGAAAAGGUGACAGCUAGGGAUGAAGAGCUUAUCCGGGGACCCCUCCGAUCCAAAGGGCCCAAGAGGCCAGCAGAAGCAGCAGGGCCUCAAGGCCCCGGGAGAGACAGAUCAGAACCACAGGUGAGUGGCUCUCUCGUUUUCUCAGGAAAAUCCAAAACAGGAGAUGCUAAAAGCACGGACUUCGGAGACACCAGAUCUGGGUUCAAGUUCCAGGUCUGACACUAAAAACUUAAGAGAUCUUUGGCAAGUGACAUAACCAAACUGAAGUUGGAGAACGCAAAAUGGUACAGCCAUUUUGGAAAACAGGUUAGCGGUUUCCUAAACAGAAAUUUGCCAUGUGACCCAGCAAUUCCAUUCCCAGGUAACCAUCCAAGAGAAAUAAAAACAUACAUCCGCACAAAGACUUGCACACAACUGUUCUUAGCAGCAUUAUUCAUCAUAACUCAAGGUGGAAGCGAUCCAAAUGUUCCUCAACCGGUGAACGGAGAAACAAAAUGCGGCAUAUCCACACGAUGGAAUACUAAAGGGCGAUAAAAGGAAGAAAGUCCUGAUACAUGCCACAACCUGAACACACCCUGAAAACAUUACUCCAAAUGAAACAAGCCAAUCGCAAAAGAUCACAUAGUAGCUGAGUCCAUGUACGUGGAACAUUCCAGAAAAGGCAAAGAUACAGAGGCAGAAAACAGACUAGUGGUUGCCUGGGGCUGGGGACAGGAGUGACUACAAGUGGGCACAAAGUGUCUUUUUGGGGUGACGGAAUGUUCAAAACUCGGGUUGUGGUGAUGGGGGCACAACUCUGUAAAUGACCUGAAAAUCAUUGAAUCGCACCCUUAAAAUGGGCACAUUCUGCGAUAUGUAAAUUAAAACUCAAUAGAGUUGUUUUUAAACAAUG